GAGCAAGGUCAUCCUAUCAGAUGAUGAAACCUUGCAUUGAAGGUUGGCAACAUAAAAUAUAGGGUGAUUCUCCGUGCCUUUCAAACUCUAUUUGUGUUGAUUACGGCCUCGAACAAGUCACCACAUU
rfam:Spinacia oleracea cultivar SynViroflay scaffold10563.con0001.1, whole genome shotgun sequence.